CCAGACCGAUAGCGAACAAGUAGAGUGAUCGAAAGAUGAAAAGCACUUUGAAAAGAGAGUUAAACAGCACGUGAAAUUGUUGAAAGGGAAGCGCUUGCGACCAGACUCGCCCGCGGGGUUCAGCCGGCAUUCGUGCCGGUGUACUUCCCCGUGGGCGGGCCAGCGUCGGUUUGGGCGGCCGGUCAAAGGCCCCUGGAAUGUAGUACCCUCCGGGGUACCUUAUAGCCAGGGGUGCAAUUGCGGCCAGCCUGGACCGAGGAACGCGCUUCGCACGACGCUGCAU
rnacentral:rRNA from 1 species